GACGAACGCUGGCGGCGUGCUUAACACAUGCAAGUCGAACGGAAAGGCCCUGCUUUUGUGGGGUGCUCGAGUGGCGAACGGGUGAGUAACACGUGAGUAACCUGCCCUUGACUUUGGGAUAACUUCAGGUAACUGGGGCUAAUACCGGAUAGGAGCUCCUGCUGCAUGGUGGGGGUUGGAAAGUUUCGGCGGUUGGGGAUGGACUCGCGGCUUAUCAGCUUGUUGGUGGGGUAGUGGCUUACCAAGGCUUUGACGGGUAGCCGGCCUGGGAGGGUGACCGGCCACAUUGGGACUGAGAUACGGCCCAGACUCCUACGGGAGGCAGCAGUGGGGAAUAUUGCACAAUGGGCGGAAGCCUGAUGCAGCAACGCCGCGUGCGGGAUGACGGCCUUCGGGUUGUAAACCGCUUUCGCCUGUGACGAAGCGUGAGUGACGGUAAUGGGUAAAGAAGCACCGGCUAACUACGU
rnacentral:rRNA from 1 species